rnacentral:tRNA from 2 species
GGACCUUUAGCUCAGUUGGUCAGAGCAACCGGCUCAUAACCGGUCGGUCCUGGGUUCGAGUCCCCGAAGGUCCA